rnacentral:rRNA from 1 species
AGAGUUUGAUCCUGGCUCAGGAUGAACGCUGGCGGCGUGCCUAACACAUGCAAGUCGAACGGAACUUUUACGGAUUGAGACUUCGGUUGAUUGAGGUUUAAGUUUAGUGGCGGACGGGUGAGUAACGCGUGAGUAACCUGCCUUUCACAGGGGGAUAACGUUUGGAAACGAACGCUAAUACCGCAUAACGUAGCGGGGUCGCAUGGCUCUGCUACCAAAGAUUUUAUCGGUGAAAGAUGGACUCGCGUCCGAUUAGGUAGUUGGUGAGGUAACGGCCCACCAAGCCGACGAUCGGUAGCCGGACUGAGAGGUUGAACGGCCACAUUGGGACUGAGACACGGCCCAGACUCCUACGGGAGGCAGCAGUGGGGAAUAUUGCACAAUGGGCGCAAGCCUGAUGCAGCAACGCCGCGUGAGGGAAGACGGUUUUCGGAUUGUAAACCUCUGUCUUUGGUGACGAAGAAGUGACGGUAGCCAAGGAGGAAGCCACGGCUAACUACGUGCCAGCAGCCGCGGUAAUACGUAGGUGGCAAGCGUUAUCCGGAAUUACUGGGUGUAAAGGGAGCGCAGGCGGGACAGCAAGUCAGCGGUGAAAUUUAUGGGCUCAACCCAUAAACUGCCGUUGAAACUGUUGUUCUUGAGUGGAGUAGAGGCAGGCGGAAUUCCGAGUGUAGCGGUGAAAUGCGUAGAUAUUCGGAGGAACACCAGUGGCGAAGGCGGCCUGCUGGGCUCUAACUGACGCUGAGGCUCGAAAGUGUUGGGAGCAAACAGGAUUAGAUACCCUGGUAGUCCACACUGUAAACGAUGAUUGCUAGGUGUGGGGGGUCUGACCCCCUCCGUGCCGGAGUUAACGCAAUAAGCAAUCCACCUGGGGAGUA